GCACAUGUCAGCCUGGUUCACUUCUAUAUCGCUGUGACCUACUACUUUGUCGGCAUCUGAUUAGUGUUUGGGGCAAGGUGGGGACUGUUUGAGGAAAUUUCUGGGCUUCUGAAAGCUCUCUAUGAGAAAUUUUCUGAAAUGUUUUCUUUAAUUUAGCCUUUAGACAUGGGAAAGUAGAGGAGAUUCAUAUUGCUUUGGGGCUCUGUUGUCUGAACCUGAAAUAGACAAGAGUGAGCAGAGCAUGCUCGCUCUCAUUGGUGCUUGAAAAGGUAAAAUAAUACAACAGCCUUUGUUACCCUUCCUCAAGGGUACUUCAAGUGCCACUGCACCAGGAAGACCUUCCUGAUCACUACCCUUCCUUUGCCAGGUGGGCGUGAUUGCUCCCUCCUCUGAAUUCUGCUGCGCCUUUGCCAUGUCUUCUGAGCUGCUGUUCACAUGUGCCGGGAUUGUGCAAAGGCUCUGUGUGCAUGCAUUCCUUGUGUGAUCCCGACUGCCGAGCCGAGGAUCCUGUUCGCUGAGACGAGAGAGCGAAACCAACCCAAGACCAUCAUCGACAUCGAAGUCGCGGCUCGACCCUGCGAAGCCGAGGACCAGACUACAACCACCAGGUCGUAUGCCCUCAUCGAGAGCAUGCUAGGACUUAUGGUUUUUCUAGAGAUAUUAUGGGCUGGCAUUACUUCUAUAUUGCGCUGGCAAUUGUAGUUGUAUCCUUUGUGUGGGCUUGUUUCUGUAUUACUGAUGAGAGUAAAAGCAUUUAUGAAAACGAAACUGAAUUGGCAAUCAUUGAUGAACUGACCCGUGAUCCCGAAUCACAAAUCGGUGCUCGCGACAGGAUUGAACUCAGGACCUUGCACUUGUGAGACAGUCACAGCACCACUGAG
rnacentral:lncRNA from 1 species